UGGGAUAUAGCUUAGUGGUUGAGCACAUCUAGGAUUGGAGAGGCCCUGGGUUCAAUUCCCAGUAUCCCCC
rnacentral:tRNA from 1 species